AGAGGCAUGUAUGUGUUAAGGGAAAGAGGCCCUGGGAGCCAGGAAUGCAGGGCAGAUCAGAGCGAGCCAAACCAGGAAUGGAAGUUCUCACAGUCACUACUGAGCCCAGGGACAGACCAAGGUACUGGGAAUGGAACCUGGGACUUGACACAUAUGAGAUUCCAAUACUUGGUUACUAUUCCUGUGAUUAAAUACGAUGCUGUGGGUGUAGCUCAGUGUGGAACAUUCGCCAACAUGUACAAGGCUCUGGGGUUUGAGAAGAAAGGAAAAAGGGAGCAAGAAAUUCAAGCUGAGAUGUAGGUGAGUUGGUGGUACUCUGUUGGCCAGAAGGCUAAGUGCCCUGACUGGAGCUUGCAGAGAGAGGCCUCAACCAAAUCUGUCCACGCCACUCAUCUGCCUUGUUUCAGCUACAGGCUGACCCCUGUAGUGGGGGAUGCAGUGGAGGAAGAUGGGUCUGACUGUUAUCAGAAUGUGGUGAAGACGGGGUAGUAGUGUACCCCAAUUGGGUAGAGAAGGACAAACUUAUCAAAACACAAGAAAAACACUGACGUGCUAAGAAGAGAUGCCACUGGAUUUAAAAUGAAGCGUCACAGAAAGUCUUGUGUGCAGGAACAGUGUCAUUGAAGGACUAGCAGAAGAUCUAACUGCAAGCUAGACAGUGGUGAACAGGACUCCAGAGGGAUAACCAAAGGUAAAUGAAACAUUGGCC
rnacentral:lncRNA from 1 species